GUAAGGAAUAUUGGUCAAUGGAGGCAACUCUGAACCAGCCAUGCCGCGUGCAGGAAGACGGCCCUCUGGGUUGUAAACUGCUUUUAUCUAGGAAUAAACCUACUUACGUGUAAGUAGCUGAAUGUACUAGAAGAAUAAGGAUCGGCUAACUCCGUGCCAGCAGCCGCGGUAAUACGGAGGAUCCAAGCGUUAUCCGGAUUUAUUGGGUUUAAAGGGUGCGUAGGCGGCCUAUUAAGUCAGGGGUGAAAGACGGUAGCUCAACUAUCGCAGUGCCCUUGAUACUGAUGGGCUUGAAUGAACUAGAGGUAGGCGGAAUGUGACAAGUAGCGGUGAAAUGUUUAGAUAUGUCACAGAACACCGAUUGCGAAGGCAGCUUACUAUGGUUUUAUUGACGCUGAGGCACGAAAGCGUGGGGAUCGAACAGGAUUAGAUACCCUGGUAGUCC
rnacentral:rRNA from 1 species